CUAGUUCAGCUCCACCUCCUUCCAAUUUUUCUUCCUCCUCCGUUGCUCAGAUCCUAAACUCUAAUACCCAGAAAUCAAUCAGAUCUGUUUGUCUCUCACUUUGUGGACUGCAUCUUGUCGAUCUCCACUCUCAAAACAGAAUGAGAGAGCAGAAUCAGAGCAGAAGAAAGCAGAAAAUCUGAUAGCGCUGGCAGAAAAGAGAAAGAGAGAAAAUGAGAAGCUUCACUCAGAAAUAAUUGAAUUGAAAGACCAGCUCCAAGCCAAACAGGCAGUGAAUGAGGAUUUUGAAGCCCAGAAGAAAAUUAAAGCACUUGAACAAGUGUUAAAGGAGAAGGCGCAGGAGCUUACUGAUCUGUCCGAAUUUUACAAUCCACUGAUUUUCAAGGAGAGGAGCAAUAAUGAUGAGCUGCAGGGGGCCCGUAAAGAGUUAAUUGAGAUCAUUGAGUUAAGAGAAAGAAGACGAGAGACUGAAGAUCUUGGUUGAACAAGGGUGCAUUAUUGGACGAACAUAUAGCAGAACAAACUGUGGUACUUUGAAUGAGAGAGGGAGAGCAAAUCUGUGGUUUUGAUGGGUUUCAAUGUCCCUUAAACGCCGUCGGUUCACUGCGAUCUGAACCAUCUCCACUCUUCGCUUUAGGCUAUCCAAGAGUAGAAGAAGAGUGGCUUUCUAGGUCAGUGACAGAGGUAUUUCAAAGGUCCUGAGCUCCUUGUUUAUUUACAAGAUUAUGACUAUUCUUUGGAAUUCAUAUGAGGU